CGAAUGCUGACAUAAGUAACGAUAAAGCGGGUGAAAAGCCCGCUCGCCGGAAGACCAAGGGUUCCUGUCCAACGUUAAUCGGGGCAGGGUGAGUCGACCCCUAAGGCGAGGCCGAAAGGCGUAGUCGAUGGGAAACAGGUUAAUAUUCCUGUACUUGGUGUUACUGCGAAGGGGGGACGGAGAAGGCUAUGUUGGCCGGGCGACGGUUGUCCCGGUUUAAGCGUGUAGGCUGGUUUUCCAGGCAAAUCCGGAAAAUCAAGGCUGAGGCGUGAUGACGAGGCACUACGGUGCUGAAGCAACAAAUGCCCUGCUUCCAGGAAAAGCCUCUAAGCAUCAGGUAACAUCAAAUCGUACCCCAAACCGACACAGGUGGUCAGGUAGAGAAUACCAAGGCGCUUGAGAGAACUCGGGUGAAGGAACUAGGCAAAAUGGUGCCGUAACUUCGGGAGAAGGCACGCUGAUAUGUAGGUGAAGUCCCUCGCGGAUGGAGCUGAAAUCAGUCGAAGAUACCAGCUGGCUGCAACUGUUUAUUAAAAACACAGCACUGUGCAAACACGAAAGUGGACGUAUACGGUGUGACGCCUGCCCGGUG
rnacentral:rRNA from 1 species